AGAGUUUGAUCCUGGCUCAGGAUGAACGCUGACAGAAUGCUUAACACAUGCAAGUCGAUGGGGAAGCGGUGCUUGCACCGUGAAACCAUGGCGGACGGGUGAGUAACGCGUAAAGAACUUACCGAAUGGACUGGGAUAACAGCUGGAAACGGCUGAUAAGACCGGAUAUUAUGAACUUGCUGCAUAGUGAGUUUAUGAAAAGAGAUGCCAUUUGAGAGCUUUGCGUCCUAUUAGCUAGUUGGUAAGGUAACGGCUUACCAAGGCGAUGAUAGGUAGCCGGCCUGAGAGGGUGGACGGCCACAAGGGGACUGAGAUACGGCCCUUACUCCUACGGGAGGCAGCAGUGGGGAAUAUUGGACAAUGGGGGCAACCCUGAUCCAGCAAUUCUGUGUGCACGAAGAAGGUUUUCGGAUCGUAAAGUGCUUUCAGCAGGGAGGAAGAAAGUGACUGUACCUGCAGAAGAAGCGACGGCUAAAUACGUGCCAGCAGCCGCGGUAAUACGUAUGUCGCGAGCGUUAUCCGGAAUUAUUGGGCAUAAAGGGCAUCUAGGCGGCCAGAUAAGUCCGAGGUGAAAACUGCCGGCUCAACCAGCAGCUUGCCUUGGAAACUACCUGGCUAGAGUAUUGGAGAGGUGGACGGAACUACACGAGUAGAGGUGAAAUUCGUAGAUAUGUGUAGGAAUGCCGAUGAUGAAGAUAGUUCACUGGACGAUAACUGACGCUGAAGUGCGAAAGCUAGGGGAGCGAACAGGAUUAGAUACCCUGGUAGUCCUAGCUGUAAACGAUGAUUACUGGGUGUGGGCAUGAAGAGUGUCCGUGCCGAAGUUAAUGCGAUAAGUAAUCCGCCUGGGGAGUACGGCCGCAAGGCUGAAACUCAAAGGAAUUGACGGGGACCCGCACAAGCGGUGGAGCAUGUGGUUUAAUUCGACGCAACGCGAGGAACCUUACCAGAUCUUGACAUCCUCGGAAGGUGAUGGAAACAUCACCGUGCCCUCGGGAACCGAGUGACAGGUGGUGCAUGGCUGUCGACAGCUCGUGUCGUGAGAUGUUGGGUUAAGUCCCGCAACGAGCGCAACCCCU
rnacentral:rRNA from 1 species